rnacentral:rRNA from 1 species
AUUGAACGCUGGCGGCAUGCUUUACACAUGCAAGUCGAACGGCAGCGCGGGCUUCGGCCUGGCUGCGGGUGGCGAACGGGUGGGUAAUGCAUCGGAACGUGGCCAGUAGUGGGGGAUAGGCCGGCGAAAGCCGGAUUAAUACGGCAUACGACCAGAGGGUGUAAGCGGGGGACCGAAAGGCCUUGCGCCAUUGGGGCGGCCGAUGUCGGAUUAGCUAGUUGGUGGGGUAAAGGCUUACCAAGGCGACGAUCCGUAGCUGGUCUGAGAGGACGACCAGCCACACUGGAACUGAGACACGGCCCAGACUCCUACGGGAGGCAGCAGUGGGGAAUUUUGGACAAUGGGGGCAACCCUGAUCCAGCCAUGCCGCGUGCGUGAAGAAGGCCUUCGGGUUGUAAAGCCCUUUUGUUCGGGAAGAAAACCUGUGGGCUAAUACCCCGGGGGGAUGACGGUACCGGAAGAAUAAGCACCGGCUAACUACGUG